AAGCCCUUGGCUGUGCCUCCAUCUCCAACACCUGCUGCUGUCCUUACAGACUCCCUGCUUCUCCUGCCACUGGAUGCUUCUGCACACUCAGCCACCCAGCCCAGCACACAGGAAUUCUCAUCCCAGAGAGGCUGCCAAGUUGCCAAAAGCUGAUCUGAUUCUCCUAAACCAAAUCAGCACUCCACUACACCAGCCAAAACUCAACCAGCAAUACGAGUUCCAGCAACCUCCUCAUCUGUGCUGUGCUUGAACUCAGUUGAGGACAACCUUCUCCUUCUGGAAGCAUCUUCUGAUGAAGAUGACUGACAAGAUCUUUCAUCAGGGAACACAUUUCCAGUAAGAGAGAAACUGGUGUAAAACUGAAUUCCUGC
ensembl:lncRNA